UACGUAGGGUGCGAGCGUUAAUCGGAAUUACUGGGCGUAAAGCGUGCGCAGGCGGCGCGUUAAGACAGGUGUGAAAGCCCCGAGCUUAACUUGGGAAUUGCGCUUGUGACUGGCGUGCUGGAGUGUGGCAGAGGGAGGUGGAAUUCCACGUGUAGCAGUGAAAUGCGUAGAGAUGUGGAGGAACACCGAUGGCGAAGGCAGCCUCCUGGGCCAGCACUGACGCUCAUGCACGAAAGUGUGGGGAGCAAACAGG
rnacentral:rRNA from 1 species